rnacentral:rRNA from 1 species
AGAGUUUGAUCAUGGCUCAGAUUGAACGCUGGCGGCAUGCCUUACACAUGCAAGUCGAACGGCAGCACGGGAGCAAUCCUGGUGGCGAGUGGCGAACGGGUGAGUAAUACAUCGGAACGUGCCCAAUCGUGGGGGAUAACGCAGCGAAAGCUGUGCUAAUACCGCAUACGAUCUACGGAUGAAAGCAGGGGACCGCAAGGCCUUGCGCGAAUGGAGCGGCCGAUGGCAGAUUAGGUAGUUGGUGAGGUAAAGGCUCACCAAGCCUUCGAUCUGUAGCUGGUCUGAGAGGACGACCAGCCACACUGGGACUGAGACACGGCCCAGACUCCUACGGGAGGCAGCAGUGGGGAAUUUUGGACAAUGGGCGCAAGCCUGAUCCAGCCAUGCCGCGUGCAGGAUGAAGGCCUUCGGGUUGUAAACUGCUUUUGUACGGAACGAAACGGCUCUUUCUAAUAAAGAGGGCUAAUGACGGUACCGUAAGAAUAAGCACCGGCUAACUACGUGCCAGCAGCCGCGGUAAUACGUAGGGUGCAAGCGUUAAUCGGAAUUACUGGGCGUAAAGCGUGCGCAGGCGGUGAUGUAAGACAGUUGUGAAAUCCCCGGGCUCAACCUGGGAACUGCAUCUGUGACUGCAUCGCUGGAGUGCGGCAGAGGGGGAUGGAAUUCCGCGUAGCAGUGAAAUGCGUAGAUAUGCGGAGGAACACCGAUGGCGAAGGCAAUCCCCUGGGCCUGCACUGACGCUCAUGCACGAAAGCGUGGGGAGCAAACAGGAUUAGAUACCCUAGUAGUCC